rnacentral:rRNA from 1 species
UACAGAGGUCCCAAGCGUUGUUCGGAUUCACUGGGCGUAAAGGGUGCGCAGGUGGUCGGGUAAGUCUGACGUGAAAUCCCGCAGCUUAACUCCGAAACUGCAUUCGAUACUGCCGUGCUUGAGGACUGGAGAGGAGACUGGAAUUUACGGUGUAGCGGUGAAAUGCGUAGAGAUGUGGAGGAACACCAGUGGCGAAGGCGGGUCUCUGGACAGUUCCUGACACUGAGGCACGAAGGCCAGGGAGCAAACGGG